AUCUCAAAUCAGGUAGGACUACCCGCUGAACUUAAGCAUAUC
rnacentral:rRNA from 1 species